rnacentral:rRNA from 1 species
UACAUGGGGUGCAAACGUUGCUCGGAAUUACUGGGCGUAAAGCGCGUGUAGGCUGCUUCGCAAGUCGGAUGUGAAAGCCCUGGGCUCAACCCAGGAAGUGCAUUCGAAACUGCAGAGCUGGAGUCCUGGAGAGGAAGGCGGAAUUCGUCGGUGUAGAGGUGAAAUUCGUAGACAUCGAGAGGAACACCGGUGGCGAAGGCGGCCUUCUGGACAGUGACUGACGCUGAGACGCGAAAGCGUGGGGAGCAAACAGGGAUUAAGAAACCCU